rnacentral:tRNA from 1 species
GGGCCGGUAGCGCAGUUGGCUAGCGCGUCUGCAUGGCAUGCAGAAGGUCAGGGGUUCGACUCCCCUCCGGUCCA